UAAGCACUUAACGAGCUACCACGAAGAAGAAAAAGAAGAAAAGGAAUAAGAAUAAGAUGAUAAAUAUUUUUUUUAUUGUUAUUUAGUGGAAAAGUGAGAGUGCGAGCAGUAAAGCGAUAAUACGAAUGCAGUUCACAAGCAAAAUGCAAUUAAAGCAAAAUUAAUGCAAAAUCAAACAGCAUCAGUCAAAGUCAAAACAGAAGCUGGAAGAGAAGCGAAACACUAAGCAAAGCUGUUGAACGCAUUCAGCGUGCAUCCAUGGAUCUCAGCCGCUUGCCAUGCAAAACAAUUAUCAUAAGAUCGCCAUCAGCAGCAUCGUCAACGUCCACAUCAACGUCAACGUGAACGCCAGCUUCAGCGUCUGCGUCAGCGUCUGCAUCAGCGCCAGCGCCAAUGCUGUUGUCGCCAGCUAACGGUCACAGUGUAAAGUGAACGAACAACAGCAACAAUAAGAACGCCCUCUGCUCGCCAGCAACAGCAACAACAACCACAACAACAACAAAUCAAAAUACACUUCGACCCUGCGGACAUUUUAARGCACCAACUCGCACCUCGCCGCGCCGCACUUCGGGCCGCUCAUCAAGUUCUUUUCAAUUUUGAUUCGCAGCAGUGCGCAUCGAACGUCAACGUCAGCGUCAACGCCAGCGUCAGCGAGGAGCUGGCUGCACCAGCAGAAACAGCUGAUUAACAUGUUGUUCGGGCCGAACGGCUGGCAACUGCACUGCUAAUUGCGAGAGUUUAGAGGCAACCCGCAACAACAACAACGACAACAAAGCGAAGCGGCAGCAGGAGGAGAAGGUAGAAACCGAGAACUGAGAAGAGCAAAAACAACAGCGAAACAAAGGAAUAAAAGGGCGCCUUAAUUAAUCACAGUUAGGUCUGCUACGAGCAGCGGCUACAACAACAACAAAGUGAAGACCAGCUGGAACUGAAAAUAAAGGCGAGCGAAAGAGACAGACGUAUAGAGCGCGAAGGCAGCCAAUAAGAGCGCGCCUGACCUGUAAACGCGCGCAGCUUACAGUUAUAAGCGACGCCUAAAAGUAGAAGACAGAAGACAGUAUUAGAGCAGCCAAGGAAAGCGAGCGUAUGUGUGUGAGCACUUAUACGUAUAAGACAUAAGAACUAUUAACAAGUGACUUGAAGCAAAAUAGCCAUAAGUUUUACUUAUACUUCGC